rnacentral:rRNA from 1 species
AGAGUUUGAUCCUGGCUCAGAAUCAACGCUGGCGGCGUGCCUAACACAUGCAAGUCGAACGCGGUUAUCCCGCAAGGGAUGACUGAGUGGCGAACGGGUGAGUAACACGUGGGUGACCUACCUUCGAGUGGGGGAUAACGUCCCGAAAGGGACGCUAAUACCGCAUAACAUCCUGCUCUUGAACGAGCGGAGAUCAAAGCCGGGGAUCGCAAGACCUGGCGCUUGUUGAGGGGCCCGCGUCUGAUUAGCUAGUUGGUGAGGUAACGGCUCACCAAGGCGACGAUCAGUAUCCGGCCUGAGAGGGCGGACGGACACACUGGGACUGAGACACGGCCCAGACUCCUACGGGAGGCAGCAGUGGGGAAUUGUUCGCAAUGGGCGCAAGCCUGACGACGCAACGCCGCGUGAAGGAUGAAAUCCCUCGGGAUGUAAACUUCGCAAGAACGGGAAGAAUAAGUAGGGGACAAUACCCCCUAUGAUGACGGUACCGUUUGUAAGCUCCGGCUAACUCCGUGCCAGCAGCCGCGGUAAA